rnacentral:rRNA from 1 species
ACGCGAAAGGGGCUUCGGCCCUGAGUAGAGUGGCGAACGGGUGAGUAACACGUGGGUGAUCUACCUUCGAGUGGGGGAUAACGUCCCGAAAGGGACGCUAAUACCGCAUGACGUUCUGGGUUUAAAGACCUGGAAACCAAAGCCGGGGACCGCAAGGCCUGGCGCUGGAAGAGGAGCCCGCGUCCGAUUAGCUAGUUGGCGGGGUAAUGGCCCACCAAGGCGACGAUCGGUAGCCGGCCUGAGAGGGCGGACGGCCACACUGGAACUGAGACACGGUCCAGACUCCUACGGGAGGCAGCAGUGGGGAAUUGUUCACAAUGGGCGCAAGCCUGAUGACGCAACGCCGCGUGGGGGAUGAAGGUCUUCGGAUCGUAAACCCCUGUCGAACGGGACGAAAGACCCGGGAGCUAAUCAUCCUGGGAGUGACGGUACCGUUAAAGGAAGCCACGGCUAACUCUGUGCCAGCAGCCGCGGUAAUACAGAGGUGGCAAGCGUUGUUCGGAAUUACUGGGCGUAAAGGGCGCGUAGGCGGCCUACUAAGUCAGACGUGAAAUCCCCCGGCUUAACCUGGGAACUGCGUCUGAUACUGGAAGGCUUGAGUAUGGGAGAGGGAUGUAGAAUUCCAGGUGUAGCGGUGAAAUGCGUAGAUAUCUGGAGGAAUACCGGUGGCGAAGGCGGCAUCCUGGACCAUUACUGACGCUGAGGCGCGAAAGCUAGGGGAGCAAACGGGAUUAGAUACCCCGGUAGUCCUAGCCCUAAACGAUGAAUGCUUGGUGUGGCGGGUAUCGAUCCCUGCCGUGCCGAAGCUAACGCAUUAAGCA